rnacentral:rRNA from 1 species
CGGACGGGUGAGUAACGCGUGAGUAACCUGCCUUACACAAGGGGAUAGCCGUUGGAAACGACGAAUAAUACCCUAUAACAUUAACCAAUCGCAUGAUAGGUUAAUCAAAGAUUUAUCGGUGUAAGAUGGACUCGCGUCUGAUUAGCUAGUUGGUGGGGUAACAGCCUACCAAGGCAACGAUCAGUAGCCGGCUUGAGAGAGUGUACGGCCACAUUGGGACUGAGACACGGCCCAGACUCCUACGGGAGGCAGCAGCA